rnacentral:lncRNA from 1 species
AACUUUUUAGUCUUUCACAGCCAGCAAGAGAGAAGACAUAGCAGCAGCAAGCAGCACAUAACUUAACACAUAUGGCUAUGGCUAGCUGUGGCAUGGCAUCAGCUGCCUCAGGCUUUGUUGUGGCACCAAAUGUUGCAGCAGCCAACAACACAGGCUCUGCUUCCAGCAGAAGUAGCAUGUUGUUUUUCUCUUCAAAGCCCAACACCAACACCAGAAACAAUGCCAGGUUUGUGAUCAGGGCAGCUGAUGAAGCAGCUGCUGCCCCACCAGCAGCCACCAAGGAAGCACCAGAAGGGGCAGCUGCUCCUAAACCUAAGCCACCUCCAAUUGGACCCAAGAGAGGCACCAAGGUUAGUUCAUGUUAAAAAAUAGAAUUCUUUUUCGAAGUAUUAUUUGAGUGAAUUGUCAAUAGUUUUGUAGUUGGAAUUGCUGAAUUGAGAAACCAAAUUAAACUCAGAAAAAAGAGAGAAUGAGAAUCACUAGAAACCAGGACAAGCAUCAGUUAAUUUGUGUGUCCACUGAGAUAUGAUAAUAUGUUAUGGUGGCCAGAAAUACAUGUUCUUUUGUACAAUGAAAUGGUCUUGUUUAGUUUUAGUUGCAUAAACAGAAAAUUCAGAGGACCCCAAAUGAAAAUAUAAAGUUUCUAAAUGGUUUGGUUUGUUUGGGAAUUGCCGAAUUGGCAAACCAAAUUAAACCCAGAAGAAAAACUAGCAGAAGGAUCAGUUGAUAUGUUCUAGUGGCCAGAAAUAUAUAUGUUCUUUAGUGCAAUAGACUAUGGAGAUAUUG